rnacentral:lncRNA from 1 species
UCUAUAGGAUUGAGUAUGGGGAGUGAAUGAAAUUUAUUGGAUUAAUCUAACGAGACAGUCAGUGGAUACAAGAUCGUGAGUAUAAAGCGGUGUCGAAGAUUAGAAGUUUGGAUUGUUCGGGGUUCUCUGUAACGUCUAGAGACCUACCGGCCGGGACAAAAAGGACUUCGGCGAGUAGUCGAAGGGCAUCCGUAUAGAUUUACGGUAUAUUCUUGCAGUCGUUUAUAUUCCAACAGUCAAAAACUGAUAGACUGCUUGACUAUUGGCGAAUCUCCAUACUACCUUCUACAGCUAGACGCCUGGCGCGUUCUCGAGCAGGAAAGCACG